rnacentral:tRNA from 1 species
GCUUUUUUGGUGUAAUUGGAAAGCAUGUCCGGCUAGCAAUCGGAAGGUCCGGGGUUCGAAUCCUGGCAAGGACA